rnacentral:rRNA from 1 species
GACGAACGCUGGCGGCGUGCUUAACACAUGCAAGUCGAGCGGUAAGGCCCUUUCGGGGGUACGACGAGCGGCGAACGGGUGAGUAACACGUGGGUGACCUGCCCUCAGCUCUGGGAGUAAGCCUGGGAAACCGGGUACUAAUACUGGAUAUGACUCCAUGACGCAUGUUGGUGGGGUGGAAAGCCUUGUGCGGCUGAGGAUGGGCCCGCGGCCUAUCAGCUUGUUGGUGGGGUGAGGCCUACC